UUCGAUAGCCGAUCUCGUAGCAGUCUGGAUAGUGGAAGUCGUUUAAAUCACCUCGGAAUAAAGUUUUACCUGCCUGGCAGCAGCACUUAGCAGGGCCGAUGUAGCAGCGGGUGAAGGUGCCAAGGGCUGGGGAGCAGCUCCUCCUCCUCUGCUCCAUUUCUGACCAUAGAGGCUCCAGAUUCUGAUCUCCAUUGCAUCUUUCCAAAUAUUUUUUUUGAGAGAGCAUAAAGACUGGCUUGUUCCUUGAAAGUAAUCAACUUCAGCCUUUUGCAGUUUGAAUGAAAAUCUUACGGCAGUUUUACGAAAUGGUCAACAGAUGUUUUCCCUCCCAAGAAAUGGGAAAACAGUUGUGUUCUAAGAUGCUUUGUUGUUGUUUUUGUUCAAUGUGGAAGGUAUUGUCCAAGAAAUACCAGGGCGACUUGGGAGUUUUCAUGAAGUUGCCUUUCAGUAUCCUUUUAAGGGAAUAAUUUUUAUUACUAAAAUUCAUGUCAGGCAUUUGUUCCUAUUGCACUCUGCUGCCAAGCAACUUGAUUCUUCAAUCAAGCUUGUGCCAUCUGUUUUUAAUUCAAAUAUUCAUUGUAAUUGAAUACUGUGUUAUCGAAGUGACUGUACUUGUUCCCAUUCGCUAACAAGGUGAUCAAGGAGAAGCUGACCAGCUCUAGAUGUUACAUUUUUCAGCCCUAGAUAUGAAGUAAACAGAAUAUCUGGAAACAUUUUAUUAUCUGCACUGCUUACACAGUGAAUGUCUGUGAUUCACAAACACAGGAGUUUGUAGAAGCUUGUCCUGCUGAAGAUGAGCUGUUAGGUACUCAACAGCACCACGAGGACAGCAGUCCAUUUCGUGGCCUGGUUGUAUUCCAUUUCUACUCCUUUGCUGAUUUACUUUACCAGGUCAGGGAGUGGCAGCUGAUAACAGAAGACUAAAUCAGCUGCAUCAACCCUUUCGCACUGUGAAAGGUGUGUGUUGCAGCCCCUAUGAAACGGAGCCAGAGCAGAUGCUGCAGAAUCCAUCGCUGGCUGGCUGCCAUUCGCUGGAGGUUUUGAUUAAUAACUUCCAAGGAAGAAAAGAAAAAGACUCUUACAAUGAUGGUUUGUCUUCAGUUAUUCUGGUGAAGGUGGAAUGAAAGUUUCUUCUGACAGGAGAAGUAAUGGUCCGCGUGAUGAAAGCAGUGACCUAAGAUUUUGGAGAUCUGUUGGAUACUUGAUUUUACCACACACUCCUUGAAUAAGCCAGAAAAGUCCUUCUGUGAUUAAGCAAGUCACCUGCAGAGCAGGGAUGGCAAGGACAAUAUUCUUCUGUCUUCAGAUAGGAUAGCCCUACUGUGAGGGUAGUUGGCACAAAUGGAGACAUGGUAAUGAUUUUGCGCCAAGUUUCAGUAUGGUGGUGAUAAAGCUUUAUUGCUAAAAUCCCUGUGUUGCAAGUUUUAAAAAGAUUAGCAAAGGCUCCAAUCUUGGGUGAAGAGGAAUCUGAAGAAACUCUUCUUUCACAUAAGCUCACCAGUUGGUUGCCAAGGCUCGAAGCCCUGUGAAGCAGAGAAGCUUUCGGGAGAUGGGAUUCUCUGGCACGGCAGCUGUGUUUUGCUGAGAAGAGGGGCAGCACCCAGUGACAGGAAC